UCCGGGUUAUCCCCGGCAGUCUCCCUAGAGUGCCCGGCCGGACCGCUGGCUACUAAGGAUAAGGGUUGCGCUCGUUGCGGGACUUAACCCAACAUCUCACGACACGAGCUGACGACAACCAUGCACCACCUGUCUCCAUUGUCCCGAAGGAAGGCAGACGUUACUCUGCUGGUCAAUGGGAUGUCAAGACCUGGUAAGGUUCUUCGCGUUGCGUCGAAUUAAACCACAUGCUCCACCGCUUGUGCGGGUCCCCGUCAAUUCCUUUGAGUUUCAUUCUUGCGAACGUACUCCCCAGGUGGAAUACUUACUGCGUUAGCUGCGGCACCGAAGUCCGUUUGGACCCCGACACCUAGUAUUCAUCGUUUACAGCGUGGACUAC
rnacentral:misc_RNA from 1 species